UUCCGGUUGAUCCCGCCGGACCCCACUGCUAUCGAGGUGGGACUAAGCCAUGCUAGUUGAGCGCACAGAACUAUGUCUGUGAGCGGCACACUGCUCAGUAACACGUAGCUAACCUACCCUUAGGACGUGGACAACCCCGAGAAAUUGGGGCUAAUCCGCGAUAGAUGUAUUGUCCUGGAAUGGUAUUACGUCUAAAGGUAUCCCAUACAUGUUUGGUAUAUGCCUAAGGAUGGGGCUGCGGCCGAUCAGGCUGUUGGUGAGGUAAUGGCUCACCAAACCUUUGACCGGUACGGGCCAUGAGAGUGGUAGCCCGGAGAUGGACACUGAGACAAGGGUCCAGGCCCUACGGGGCGCAGCAGGCGCGAAACCUCCUCAAUGCACUUACGUGCGAAGGGGCUACCUCGAGUGCCACCUGAUGAAGGUGGCUUUUCCUAGGUCUAAAAAGCCUUGGGAAUAAGAGGGGGGCAAGACUGGUGUCAGCCGCCGCGGUAACACCAGCCCCUCGAGUGGUGGGGAUGAUUAUUGGGCCUAAAGCGUCCGUAGCCUGCCGUAUAAGUUUCCCGUUAAAUCCAGCGUCUUAAGCGUUGGACUGCGGGAAAUACUGUACGGCUAGAGAGUGGGAGAGGUCAGCGGUAUUCUGGGGGUAGGGGCGAAAUCCUUUUGAUCC
rnacentral:rRNA from 1 species